rnacentral:lncRNA from 1 species
CUCUCAAUAUUUAAGUGUUUAUACAUGUGAGAAUCAUCAGAUAUGCGAUACAAGUCGCACAUUCUUUCUCGUACGCACAAAAUCAAAGCGUAAACAAAACCACAAAGCGGCAUGUGAAAUGGAGGACGUGCCCUCCGCUCUGGGCGUUUGACCGUUGACCGACAUGCGCCGCGUAGGAUGCAGACGUGACUCACGAGCGUGAAAGCGUGACGUUCAUAUUGGCAACCCCUCUUCGUCUCCAUUCGCCCGGUGAUCCCACCGUCCCGCGACACGGUCGGUGAUUCUUGAAACAUGUUUUGGAACGACGACGGCGUCGAUCAGCAUCUGAUCCAUGCUUUUCUGCAGAUGUGUGGACCAUCAAAGAGCGUUCACUUGAGAAAGAUACCGUCAGGGGUGACACUGCCCUCCCUGCCUUCAGCGUACACGGUUGCCGGCGUUAGCGGAUAACUCCUAAAGAAGGUGAGUGAGACGCAAAUGUAGAGGUGACAGAUACGUACAUGAAAAGCCGGUGAUGAGACAGAC